UCACAUAAGUUUUCACUUGAAGAAUAAGCUCUGGAAAAAAAGAAGUUGUGUGUCAUUGUGCCAGAUGGUCUAAAGUUCAUCCUUAAUAAAACUAUUUGAUUCUCCAAGUGAAAGAUACGCCCUUGACAAUGGACAAUGGGACAAAGUAGUCUUAGAGGAGAAUGCCUAACUAAACCAGGAGGGCUCCUUGGAAGAGUACUUCCUUAGAAAGUUUUUAGCUGGGCACAUUGCUGAUUGAAGUAAAGAAAACAUUUCCUGCCUUCCCUUUGAGCUAGGGAUGGCCAAUACAAUGUCCAUGCAAGCUAUGGACUUUCAAGAAAAAUUUUAGAGGGGUGCAGAAAACUAAUAAGAAUCAUUUUGGACUUCCCAUCCCCACUUCUUCCUGCUUCCCUCCUGGAUGGAUUUUAGCUGAGUGAUCAAGAAGUGUCCUUGAAGAUGGAAUUCAGAGCUGGGCAGGCGGGAGCCUCUACGCGUCCUGACUACCUUGCUUGGCAGUGCUUCUUGCGUGAUCCUACUGCUGCCGUGUGGAAGUGUCUCCAUCAGGUUUGUUUCCUUCACCUUGUCCCCAUUCCAAAGAUCUGGGUUCCAGCUCCAAUCCUGUCACCAGAUGGCCAUCUGUUCUUGGUUUUUGGGAAGUGACCGCCAGUCAGGGAAUAACCCAAGGCCUUUUUCAACAAGAGAAGAUAGCUGUCCUAUGACCAUGCGAACUCAUAUCUGGGAACAACUAGAAUUAAGCUGUUACAACACCGGCUCAAGGAGAAGAUCUUCUCUAGGAUCAAAAAUACUUCCCACUGACCCCAGCGACUUCAGAGGGGAAAAAUAAUUUUAGUUUUCUACAGUAUCACUAUUGGUGAUAACACAUGUUUUAGAAGACACAAGCGCAGCCAGAAGUUCAAGAACAUACUCACAAAUUCUGUGAGAUCAACGGGUUCUAUAAGAGUCUUGGGAACUUCUAUUUAGUUGACAUCAAACAGGAAGCAAAAACACAGUCCUGUAAAGACAGAAGGUAGAGGCCAGGAUUUAGAAGUCUAGAGAAUUUAAAUUGCUUUGUUUUUUAACUUAAUGACAUUGACUCUUUUUAAAAUUGUAAGCAAUACAUGUUCACUUUCAUAUUGGGAGACAAGACAUCUAUGAUUCCACCAUCCAGAUACAACCAUUAUUAACCAAUGGAAGUCCUAUAGAUUGUUUCAUGAAUAAUUAUACAUAUAAUUAUACAUAUAAAUAUAUAUUUCUCUAUUAUUUUUCAUUUAUAAAUACCACAAAAAAUGUUUUGUGAGCUGCAUUUAUGGAAUAAGAUAUUGUGAACAUCUUUUGUCAAUAAAUGAACUUCAGCUGUGUGGUUCUUCAGCUGUGUGUGUGUGUGAUUCUUCAGCUCCUAGAUGGUUUCCAAUGAUCCUCGCCUGCUGUGCCUUUGGCCCUGGAGAUUGGGCUGCACCUUGACUCACUUCUAACCAGUGGAACAUGGCAAGCGAUGGGAUGUCAGCUCUGAGACUAGGUUGCAAAAAGAUGCUGGCUUCUUUCCUGCUCACCCUCUCCUGGUCUCUGGCUUCUUUACUCUAAGGAAACCACCUACAAUGUUGGUGGAAAGGAGUGCAGUGGAACUAAGGUGAGGAGCUGAGGGUGACCUUCAACCAACAGCCCUAGGGGGACUGGUUCCUGCCAACACCCACUACGCUGAGCUUGAAAGUGGAUCCUCUCCAAGAUAAGCCUUGAGAUGAUUCCAACACCUUGAUUGCAGCCUUAGGAGAGGCUCUGAGUCAGAGGACCCAGUUCAGCUGUGCUCACAGACUCCUGACCCACAGAAACUGUGAAAUAAUAUAUGCUUGCUGUUUUAAACUGCUAGGCAUUGGGGUAAUGCAGCCAUAGACAAUAGUUUUUCAUAGGUAUUUAACAUUCCACUGUAAGGUUUACUCAAUCUUUUAUUGCUGUACAUUUGGUCAUUAUAUUUUAUUUAUUUUGCUAUUAUAAGUAAGGCUGAAAUGAAAGUCAUUGUAGCUAAAUCUUGGUACACACCCUUCCUUCUUUCCUGGUGAUAAGUUCCUUGAAUUGGAAUAGAUGGAUUUCAGAGGAUUUGCAUCCUUAAGGGCUUCUAACAUGCUAUUCCCAGUUGCUUUCUGGUCGAAUUGAAGCUAUUUACACCCCUGCCGGCUUUAGCUUGGAGUGGCUGCUGGCCCACACCAGGGGUUUAUGUAUUCUGAAGCAUAUAUUUGGUUAAUUUCAACCACUCUAUCUUCAGCUGUGUCU